rnacentral:rRNA from 1 species
GAUGAACGCUGGCGGCGUGCCUAAUACAUGCAAGUCGAGCGAACGGACGAGAAGCUUGCUUCUCUGAUGUUAGCGGCGGACGGGUGAGUAACACGUGGAUAACCUACCUAUAAGACUGGGAUAACUUCGGGAAACCGGAGCUAAUACCGGAUAAUAUUAUGAACCGCAUGGUUCAAAAGUGAAAGACGGUCUUGCUGUCACUUAUAGAUGGAUCCGCGCUGCAUUAGCUAGUUGGUAAGGUAACGGCUUACCAAGGCAACGAUGCAUAGCCGACCUGAGAGGGUGAUCGGCCACACUGGAACUGAGACACGGUCCAGACUCCUACGGGAGGCAGCAGUAGGGAAUCUUCCGCAAUGGGCGAAAGCCUGACGGAGCAACGCCGCGUGAGUGAUGAAGGUCUUCGGAUCGUAAAACUCUGUUAUUAGGGAAGAACAUAUGUGUAAGUAACUGUGCACAUCUGGACGGUACCUAAUCAGAAAGCCACGGCUAACUACGU